GUGAGUGACCUGCCUUUUAGACUGGAACAACUUACCGAAAGGUGAGCUAAUGCCGGAUGAGUUAUAUAAGUGCAUGUUUAUAUAGGAAAAGUUGGGGAGACCUGACGCUGAAAGAUGGACUCGCGUCCCAUUAGCUAGUUGGUAGGGUAAUGGCCUACCAAGGCGACGAUGGGUAGCCGGCCUGAGAGGGUGGCCGGCCACACUGGGACUGAGACACGGCCCAGACUCCUACGGGAGGCAGCAGUGGGGAAUUUUGCGCAAUGCUCGUAAGAGUGACGCAGCGACGCCGCGUGAAUGACGAAGGCCUUCGGGUCGUAAAGUUCUUUCGACAGGGAAGAAAAUGCCUAUAAGUAACUGUGUAUGUAUUGACGGUACCUGUAUAAGCAGCCCCGGCUAACUCCGUGCCAGCAGCCGCGGUAAUACGGAGGGGGCGAGCGUUGUUCGGAGUGACUGGGCGUAAAGAGCACGUAGGCGGUGUUGUAAGUCAUUAGUCAAAGACUAGAGCUCAACUUUAGUAAGGCUAGUGAUACUAUAAUACUAGAGUAUCAGAGAGGAUUGCAGAAUUCCUGGUGUAGCGGUGAAAUGCGUAGAUAUCAGGAGGAAUACCGUUAGCGAAGGCGGCAAUCUGGCUGGAAACUGACGCUGAGGAGCGAAAGCGUGGGUAGCAAACAGGAUUAGAUACCCUGGUAGUCCACGCUGUAAACGAUGGAUGCUAAGUGUUGGGCUUUUAAGUUCAGUGCCGCAGCAAACGCGAUAAGCAUCCCGCCUGGGG
rnacentral:rRNA from 1 species